UUACGGCCAUUUCUCGUCGAAACACCGGUUCUCGUACGAUCACUUAUGAUAAGUAACAUAGAGCCUGGUCUGUACCUAGAUGGGUAACUGUUUGGGAAUAUCAGGUGCUGUAAG